AUGAAUUUACUGUGCAAAGGGUUUUCGGGUUGUGGUUUGAAUGUUGUGAUGAAUAAUAACAGGUGGACUGGGAGGCCUUACUCUCAGAGGUACUAUGACAUUCUUGACAAGAGGAAGAGCUUGCUGGUAUGGCGGCACCGAGACAAGUUCUUGUAGGCUUUCGAGGCCAAUCAGUGUGAUUUUGGUUGGCGAGACUGGUAGCGGUAAAACUACGCAGAUUCCUCAGUUUGUUUUGGAGGCUGUGGUUGAUGAGGAGUUGGAGUUGACUAGGAGGAGAGGGAGGAAGAUGAUGGUUGCGUGUACUCAGCCGCGUCGGGUGGCUGCAAGCCUGCAAUGUCGGUGUCUAGGCGUGUUGCGGAAGAGAUGGAUGUGACUCGUGUGAGAGUUGGGGAAGAGGUUGGUUACAGUGUCUGGUUUGAGGAGUGUUUGAGUGGCAGGACGGUGUUGAAGUAUUUGACGGAUGGUAUGCUUUUGAGGGAAGCGAUGGCGGAUCCGAUGUUUGAGAGAUAUGAUGUGAUCAUUCUUGAUGAGCCGCACGAAAGAACUUUGGCUACCGAUCUUCUGUUUGGGGUUUUGAAGGGAGUGUUGGUGGUUAGAGCUGACUUGAAGCUGGUUGUGAAGAGUGCUACUCUUGACUCUUGAGCCUGAAAAGUGUUUGAUCGAAUUCUUGGGAGGAAGAUUGUGGUGUCAACAAAUGUUGCAGAGACGUCCUUGACCAUAGAUGGGAUUGUGUAUGUAGUUGACCCAGGACUUGGCAAGCAGAAGAUUUAUAAUCCGCGAAAGCAUGUUGAAUCGUUGUUGGUGUCUCCAAUCUCCAAGGCAAGUGUAGAUCAGAGGAAAGGGCGUGCCCGGAGAACACAGGCCGGGAAAUGUUUUAGACUUUACACCGAGGAAAGUUUCAAUAAGCUUCAGCGAGAGACGUAUCCAGAAAUAUUGAGAUCAAACUUGGCAACUACAGUUCUUACCAUGUUGAAACUAGGAAUUAAAGAUUUGGUUCAUUAUGAUUAUUUGGAUCCCCCUGCACCUGAUACAUACAAUGAAGGAUGCACUAGAGGUUUUGUAUUAUAGGGGAGAUGAUGAGUGAAUUCCCCUUGGACCCUCAGAUAUCGAAGAUGCUUGUUGUCAGUCCUCAAUACAACUGCUCCAAUGAGAUCUUGACAAUUGCUGCCAUGCUUUCAGUGCCGCAUCCUUUUGUCCGGCCUAGGGCGGAUGAGGCUCAAAAAGCCGCUGCAGAUGAAGCAAAAGCCAGGUUUGUGCACAUUGAUGGAGAUCACCUCACUAUGCUAAAUGUGUACCAUGCGUUCAAACAAAACAAGGAGGAUCCAUCCUGGUGCUAUGACAAUUUUCUAGAUCACAUGGGCACUAAAGGCUGCAGAAGAUGUUAGGAAGCAGCUACUGCGAAUUAUGGCUCGGUUUAGCCUUAAGCUAUGCAGUACCAAUUUCAACAGUCCUGACUACCACAUCAACAUAAGGAAUGCCCUGGUUGCUGGAUAUUUCAUGCAGGUGGCUCAUCUACAACAUGACGGGCACUAUCUGAUAGUGAAAGAAAACCAAGUGGUAGAUUUGCAUCCCUCGAAUUUCUUGGAUCACAAACCAGAGUGGGUGAUUUACAACGAGUGUGUCCUGACAACCGGGAAUUAUAUCCGGACAGUGACAAGGAUUCGUCAUGAAUGGAUAGGGGAUUUACGUACAGAAAGAGUGACCUACAUAUUCACAAGUCACAAUUCAGUUGCACAAAUAAGUGAACGCUUUCUUGAUAUGUUUUAUGGAUUGAAAUGUGUUGUCAUUGUCAAGUUUGAUGAGGCGUUGUCGUCUUCAAAUGGAGUGGUGAAGGAAGGAGUGCCCAAGUUCCUAGAAAUGCAAGAGUGCUAUAACAUAUGCAUGGCAGCUUACAAAGAGAUCAUGACUUUGGCUUUGAAGGCAAACACUUGGGUUGUGGAUAUUCCAGUACUCGGUUCAAUUGAGAAACUCCACCAUAUGUUUAGGGAGCCGCCAUCGCCUGGGAUGGAGAUUGAGUAUUCCAUUGAGAGCGGCAUUGUUCCAUUGAGGCUAGAUAAUGUGGUUACUACCAUGACAAAUGUGGACGAAUGGGCUUCAGUUUUUUGCAAUAUCGUUCAUAACAGAACUGCUGAAGUGUCAUCUGGUGUUAUGAGUAAUUUAGCGCCUAAUACACCACCACAUAACAGGGACAAUUUCAAGUGUGUAAAAACGAUAAAUGCUGAACUUCUCUUGCCAAUGCCAUGUGCGCCAACACGUAAAUUCAGUUUCAUUAGGUUUUUGCGUGAAGUCAUACCAGAUGUAUGGGCUGUUGUUGAUGUAUCGACUGACUAUUUUCCGCAUUUAAGUUCUACAUUGAAUGUCAACUGUAAGAGAAGGCCUUCUGGGGUCAUUGUUAGGAGGCGUGAUGACCAUUCUGAGGUUAUAUGGAUUGAGAAUAUGGAAAUACAUAACUACAAUGUUGAAGAUAGUAUAUACUCUGGUGUCAAUUCAAACCUGGCAUUCGAUGCAAAGCACUGGAUUAGUAUGCUACUAACCAAAGAAAAGCGGAUCCAAAGUAAAUUUGUCACUGUUAAAUUGCCUAUUAUGAACCAUGCAUUUUCGGUUCGUCAUGCUCUGCUGACAUUGGCUAGAAGAUUGAAGAUGGUAUUUUUGAGCUACAUAGCUGAGCAUCCAGAUGAAAAUAAAUGGGAUUUAUUAUCAGAUACAGGAAUCAAGAUUUUAAAGGAUACUGAUGCACAAAGAAAUAAUUACAUGGCAGUGACUACCUCCAGAGUUGAAGCAACACCACUCUCCGUUUUCAACUUUCUUGUCAAAAGGAAUCGACAAUUACAGUGGCCAUGUUUAGAAGAGAUGGCAGAGCCUGAAGAAGUGAUAAAUUUAGUCACGGAUGAUCACAGCAACUGUAUUACUAUACAUGCAAAGAGAGUGAAUCAAAACGAGUCUACAGAACGAGUUAUGCAAACCGAGUCUACAGAGAAUUUUGAAUAUGUGUUACAAGAGGCUUCCAAAGAUGAGUUUUGCUCUUUCAUUAUAUCAUCACAGAUCGACCAAUCAGAAGUCAAUAGUGCUUUAGGAUUUGGGCAACUAUCUUGUUCCUUGAGACCUUUUGGUUUUUCCAUAAUACCUGAUGGGUCUCGGGGACACCUAUCUGAUGCCUCCAUCGUAACCAUGGCCUGCCAACUAGAGCUUGAAGCUGAUCUUGAAACUGGUGAAGUGAUUGAAAGAAUGAGCAAUCUUGUCAGCGGUGUUUUUGAAGCGAUAAAUGGAGGCUUCGAAUAUGCUCAUCAGCUUAAUCUAUUCAAGACUAUGAUGCCUAAUAUUGGACUUCUGAGAGAAUUGGGCAUGCCCCAGUCGUGUAUCACUUUGUUGAUGAAAUGGCAUCCUCCUCAUAUUGUGAUGAGAGGUGCCCUGAAUCGUUCAGGGGACUUGUGGCUGAGGUCCAACAAUUAUGAUUUGACCUUUGUGCAUGCCAUGGCCCCAUUAUCUGGGAAGAAGAAGACGACGUGGAGGCGAAAGGAAGAGACUUACAGGAGGUGGGGUUGGUCGGACAAUGAUAAUUCAUUCUAUUAUUCUUUGUCUUCAAGUUGA